rnacentral:rRNA from 1 species
UACGAAGGGUGCGAGCGUUAAUCGGAAUUACUGGGCGUAAAGCGCGCGUAGGUGGUUCAGUAAGUUGGAAGUGAAAUCCCCGGGCUCAACCUGGGAACUGCUUUCAAAACUGCUGAGCUAGAGUACGGUAGAGGGUGGUGGAAUUUCCUGUGUAGCGGUGAAAUGCGUAGAUAUAGGAAGGAACACCAGUGGCGAAGGUGACCACCUGGACUGAUACUGACACUGAGGUGCGAAAGCGUGGGGAGCAAACAGG